rnacentral:rRNA from 1 species
CGCGAUUCGCCCUUCGGGGUGCAGCAGGCGCGAAAACUUUACAAUGCGGGAAACCGUGAUAAGGGGACACCGAGUGCCAGCAUCAUAUGCUGGCUGUCCGGGUGUGUAAAAUACACCUGUUAGCAAGGGCCGGGCAAGACCGGUGCCAGCCGCCGCGGUAACACCGGCGGCCCGAGUGGUGAUCGUGAUUAUUGGGUCUAAAGGGUCCGUAGCCGGUUUGGUCAGUCCUCCGGGAAAUCUGACGGCUCAACCGUUAGGCUUCCGGGGGAUACUGCCAGGCUUGGAACCGGGAGAGGUAAGAGGUACUACAGGGGUAGGAGUGAAAUCUUGUAAUCCCUGUGGGACCACCUGUGGCGAAGGCGUCUUACCAGAACGGGUUCGACGGUGAGGGACGAAAGCUGGGGGCACGAACCGGAUUAGAUACCCGGGUAGUCCCAGCCGUAAACGAUGCUCGCUAGGUGUCAGGCAUGGCGCGACCGUGUCUGGUGCCGCAGGGAAGCCGUGAAGCGAGCCACCUGGGAAGUACGGCCGCAAGGCUGAAACUUAAAGGAAUUGGCGGGGGAGCAC